rnacentral:rRNA from 1 species
AGACGAACCGGACAAACGUUAUUCGGAAUCAUUGGGCUUAAAGGGUGCGUAGGCGGUGCGGAAAGUUGGGUGUGAAAUCCCUCGGCUCAACCGAGGAACUGCGCUCAAAACUUCCGUGCUAGAGUGAGACAGAGGUGAGCGGAACUGAUGGUGGAGCGGUGAAAUGCGUUGAUAUCAUCAGGAACACCGGUGGCGAAGGCGGCUCACUGGGUCUCUACUGACGCUGAGGCACGAAAGCUAAGGUAGCGAACAGAAUUAGAAACCCCGGUAGUCC